rnacentral:rRNA from 1 species
GUCAGCGACUUAUAUUUUGUAGCAAGGUUAACCGUAUAGGGGAGCCGUAGGGAAACCGAGUCUUAACUGGGCGAAUAGUUGCAAGGUAUAGACCCGAAACCCGGUGAUCUAAAUAGCUGCGCCUAAUACCGCUACACUUUUGCCUGACCAUGUUUUCCUCCGGGGAAUGGGCUGGCGGUUUCCAUAAAAUGGCGGACCUUUUUCAGUAACUGCCACA